UCUUUUAUCGCAUCAAUGAACAGUGAUGACUUGUUCAACACAUUAAUAUUAAUAUCAGUAUAGGCCCCAACCGUAAAAAAGUAUACAUAUACGAAGAUCACGUGGAUCAUUGUAGGAGUUUGUAUGUCUCCACGGGUAAACAUACCUUUCCAACAUUUUCCUAACCUUUUAUGCAAUUUUUCCAUACCCAAUGCAUACAAUCAAGGAAAGCCACGGGACUCAUUCGUUGUAGAAUUUUCUCUAGUUCAUCGUUUCUCGGAGGACAGAGGUACUCGCCACCAAAACAUUUAGUUACCCUUCGGCAAAUUACCCCGUCGCCCGUCGGUGAAGGAAAUCGGAGGAGUAGCUGCGGAAGGUGCGCUUGCUCCGUUCUGCUCCGGCACAUGGGCGGCGCGACCGGAACUCAUCUGCUCCGCCGCCGCCGCAGCUCUCCCCGUGGCCUUCCGCUUCCGCGCCUCCGCCGUUUUUAUCGCCGACGCCGACGAGGAUGCCUUCUGGGAUUGCGCCGCCUUGGCUCUCCG
rnacentral:lncRNA from 1 species